rnacentral:lncRNA from 1 species
GAAAUGGCACCCAUGGAACCUGGGCAAAAGCCAACAUGUGCCAACAUGUCAAAGGGGAAUACUAUGCAAGGCCACACAUGAAUGUUAUGUUAUGAAACAUCAGAUCAUGGACCGGUUAUAUAUGCAUUGACCAGACGUGAUUGGAUGAAUAAGUUGUAAAAGAAUAUCUUAACAGUGAGAACAGCUUAUCAGGUUAAAAGGAGAGUUUUCUCCUGAUUAGGAAAACUGCGCAGCUCCCGAAAACUAAAAUCACCUCUUAUGAGGAAUUUGUUAUGUGAAAAACUAAGAGAUCACAGUGCUCGACCACCUCUCUCAACACAUUGUGGCUUACUUUUUUUUUUUUUAUCAUCUCCUUCGAGCGAAGACAACUGCCAAUCAGAAGUUCCACUCAAAAACAAAACUACCGAUCAUAACUUUCAUAAACUAGCUGGUGAUAGUGAAUUUAGCAAUGGACCCAUACAGACCAUACC